GCAAAUGGACAGAGCAAAUUGAAGAAUGUAGCAUGUAUUUCCUCUUCCCAAGCCUACCUCUUAGUGAGAGAUCAAAUUGAAAAAUGAAAAUCUGAUGUUAUUGAGUAUCAGGCUUCGUAUGAGAAACUUCAGGCUGAGAAGGAUAUUCUUGUCUUAAAAGAAAGGGAACUCAGUGUUAAAAGUGAUGUCAUUGAUUUCCUUCGAAGAUCUGCUGCAAUUGAGAAUUCAAAGAUUUCAGAUCUUAGGAUAGAAAUACAGAAGCAGAACGAUGAGAGAAAGAUGAUUGAAACAAAGGUGGAAGAUGCUUCAAGAGAACCUGGAAGAAAAGAAAUCAUUGCAGAAUUUAAAGCCUUGGUGUCUUCCUUUCCUGUGGAAAUGGAAAACAUGCAAGACCAAUUGCGAAAACAUAAAGGAACUGCUUCAGAUGUUCAUUUUUUGAGGGCUGAUGUGCAAUCUCUUUCUAGCAUUCUUGACAGGAAGGUGAGCAUGUUUUUCAUGUGGUGAAAUUAUUGGAUGUUAUCAUUAGGCUUGUGAUGACUUUUGUGCAUCAGGUGAAAUAGUGUGAAACUCUAUUCGCUAGAUUCAUUGGUCAGGCUGCUGAGAUACAGAAAUUGCAAACCGUGGUAUGUAUUAUGUUUUCAGAUUUGUAUCUUUUAGAUGGUCACUAGGUGGAGACUGGCCAUCACUAUUAAUCUUUGGUUAAUUGUAUAAAUGUCAUGUCACAUUAAAUUUA